CAACUACUCCCUCUGUCCCAAAUUUCUUUUCUUAGAUUUGUCUAGAUACGGAUGUAUCUAAUGUAUUAGAUUCAUCCGUAUCUAGACAAAUCUAAGACAAUAAUUUUGGGACGGAGGGAGUACUUU
rfam:Triticum aestivum genome assembly, contig: Triticum_aestivum_CS42_TGACv1_scaffold_222638_3B